UGUGCGCACUCACAGCAUGUGGAGCUGUGGAAUAUGGAAACAGGACUUCGGUCUCACUCUCGCUGGGGAUCCAGGAUUUUUCUCGGGGAUGCAUGUUCCUCGAGGCCUGAAAGCACAAAAACAACACUGAACAAAUUCAUCAGCGGGGGGUUGUGAUGUUCGAUAAGUCUUCUGCAACAUCUUCUUCUCACCUGUGAUUAAAGCGGCUGCACCUAGCCCCUGUCGCCCGGGCCCUUUGUAUUGGAGGAACCGGAGGCUGCGAGGUUAUUGAUACAGGCCUCCCCUGCAGAUAAGAUCCAUGACGCUGUGAAGGAGGCACGCUACUGUACCGUGUGCACGGAGGAGGAGGUUGUCGGAUGAUGAAGGCAGGGAUCCAGGGUCUCUGGCAAUCAGGCGGCUGGAGGCAGACGCAGCCACCUCUGGCCUUUGAUUCAGUUUAUCACCGAGCGGCGCGGCCAGGCCUCACUGUUCCUCUCCUGGCCUCCUCCGCCAGAGUGAGAUCAUCACGCACCGUUGGCGAGAACAAGCCUCCAGUUUAGCAGCAGUGUCAUGAUGCCACGUGCUCGCCUACAAGUUUGAGAAUAUGUUGGUGGUCCUUCCUGUUCUGCUACGUAUCCAAGAUGGCGACCUUUGAAAGUGUGAAGACGACAUCACGGCCUCCCAGAUGUUUCCACAGCGAACAUGUAAUUGCUAGCAGCUGCACAGCCGGGGAAGUGAGCCUGAAAGAGCUCGGAAUCGAUUCCCGUCUUACCACCGCCCCUCCACCGCUGCCGCCGCCAUCCUCCACUCCUUCCUCGCCAUCCCUGAUACCUUCAGAUCCCGCAGACCACUCAGAUGUACCUGAUGCCGAAACAAGUCGGAGCCACUGCUCACAGGUUCCCAGAAAGAAAACGAGCAGUUUGAAAAGGACGACACCGGCCGAAUAAAGAGAGUGAAGUGACCGUCCCGCAGCUGGCUGCCUUCCUCUGCCGUCUUCCCCUCCGCCGAGGAGCGAGUGAUUAAUUUCCUCGCGAGGAGGGAUGCAGAGCGGGAGAGCUCCGUUUGAAAGCUCGACUGGCUGAGGAAAGGCCGCAAGGAAUUCUGGGACCUGUGAAUUUGACGUUUGGACUCUGCACAGACGAGGACUUGGUUUUUUACUCGCAUGACAACUACCAGCUGCUCUGGAGCUGCAGUGCUGGAGCCGGCCUGUGAGAGUCUUCUGAGGGAGGAGGAACGAGAGAGGCCGCCAGCAGGGGGAGUGCCAGCUCUCAUGUACGUUCCCUGGGCCUCCGAGAUAUGAGAGGGGAAAAUAUCUGCCGACAGCCCAUCACAGUUCACGGCUCUUUGUUUAUCCAUUAAUAAUUGAGCAUAGCUGAACACAAUACAAGGUAUGUGAGUGUGUGUGUGUGUGUGUGUGUGUGUGUGUGAGAGAGAGAGAGAGAGUGGGUGUAUUCAGCUGAAGAUUGGAGGUGGGAUGGAGAAGAAUGUCACUGAGGGAAUUUGAACCUCACAGUUUGGGCUAAACUGCAGGUUAUCUCCCUGAAGUGUGAGUAUUACUACGUAUUCUUAUUAAAUAUCUGCCAUAAUAUUCAUUUCAAAUGAAAUUGAUUAGAUUUUAAGGUAAAAAUCCCUCUUUUCUCGUCCUAUAUCCUGAAUGUGAGAUCAUAUACAUACAUGCAUCCAGUUAAAUGUGGCUUGUGGUAUAAACAUAUUGAUGAAUGCUGGUUUUUCCGUCUUAUAUCCGAUGAGACUGUGCAAACCAUUUGGGAAAGGAGAAGUUUAGGAAGUGCACAUGUCCUUUCCACCCGUGUCCUCAUCUCAUUCCUGACGACUUUCCUCCAGCAGCAUGUUUCCAGGGCUCCUCCAUCGAUAUGUGACGUUCUCAAAGUGAUACUGGAGUCCGAGCCCGAGUUGAUUUACUUAUUUUGAGUUCACAUCUAAAACCAGGGUUUGUCUUCCUCUCUCACUCCCUCCUCUAAUUAUGUGGGCCUUUCAGACGUCUCUCCCCGCAGAGCGCUCGCUGCCAGAACAAAGUCGAAACUGUUUCCCCAUCGGAGGCGGCCCUUGAGUGAGAGUCUCCCGACGUCUCUGCGCUCGGAGAGGCGAAGGCUGCCGUCCUCUGGGGGCUUUCAGCUAAAAUAAGUCGUACGAGCGGGUGGCUCUGACAGGAAGAGAGGAGGAAAAAAACCCAGAGAGACCGGCGGUGAGGAUGGUGCGAUGACACAGUGAUUGCUGUUGUGCUGUUGAUUGCCAGCGAUGCCACCGCUCCAUAUGUCGGGGAUGAUGGGAGAGUUUUGAGUCAAAUUAAAAAGUGGAAACCCAGUAAUCAGCCUCAGCACCGAGGACAGAAGAGAAUUCCCUCUGGUGUUGCUCUCCCCCCUGUCUCCUGACAAAUAGGUAAAAUGUUGAUUAGCAUAGCCCCGCUCUGUCCUCCAUCACAGGGAUGUGCGACGUGGGAGAUCGUGUGUCAGAGCCUGGACCUUCGCUCCAUCCCAGUUUGGACCAGUUUGACCAAACAAUGUCAUCUGCACAUAAAGGAGAUUAUAUGGAGCAGAGU